rnacentral:rRNA from 1 species
UACGUAGGGCGCAAGCGUUAUCCGGAAUUAUUGGGCGUAAAGAGCUCGUAGCCGGUUUGUCGCGUCUGCCGUGAAAGUCCGGGGCUCAACUCCGGAUCUGCGGUGGGUACGGGCAGACUAGAGUGAUGUAGGGGAGACUGGAAUUCCUGGUGUAGCGGUGAAAUGCGCAGAUAUCAGGAGGAACACCGAUGGCGAAGGCAGGUCUCUGGGCAUUAACUGACGCUGAGGAGCGAAAGCAUGGGGAGCGAACAGG